rnacentral:rRNA from 1 species
ACAGAUGGGAGCUUGCUCCCUGAUGUUAGCGGCGGACGGGUGAGUAACACGUGGGUAACCUGCCUGUAAGACUGGGAUAACUCCGGGAAACCGGGGCUAAUACCGGAUGGUUGUCUGAACCGCAUGGUUCAGACAUAAAAGGUGGCUUCGGCUACCACUUACAGAUGGACCCGCGGCGCAUUAGCUAGUUGGUGAGGUAACGGCUCACCAAGGCGACGAUGCGUAGCCGACCUGAGAGGGUGAUCGGCCACACUGGGACUGAGACACGGCCCAGACUCCUACGGGAGGCAGCAGUAGGGAAUCUUCCGCAAUGGACGAAAGUCUGACGGAGCAACGCCGCGUGAGUGAUGAAGGUUUUCGGAUCGUAAAGCUCUGUUGUUAGGGAAGAACAAGUGCCGUUCAAAUAGGGCGGCACCUUGACGGUACCUAACCAGAAAGCCACGGCUAACUACGUGCCAGCAGCCGCGGUAAUACGUAGGUGGCAAGCGUUGUCCGGAAUUAUUGGGCGUAAAGGGCUCGCAGGCGGUUUCUUAAGUCUGAUGUGAAAGCCCCCGGCUCAACCGGGGAGGGUCAUUGGAAACUGGGGAACUUGAGUGCAGAAGAGGAGAGUGGAAUUCCACGUGUAGCGGUGAAAUGCGUAGAGAUGUGGAGGAACACCAGUGGCGAAGGCGACUCUCUGGUCUGUAACUGACGCUGAGGAGCGAAAGCGUGGGGAGCGAACAGGAUUAGAUACCCUGGUAGUCCACGCCGUAAACGAUGAGUGCUAGUGGGUUAGGGGGUUUCCGCCCCUUAGUGCUGCAGCUAACGCAUAAGCACUCCGCCUGGGGGAGUACGGUCGCAAGACUGAAACUCAAAGGAAAU